rnacentral:rRNA from 1 species
GGUCAAGUUAUUAAGGGUGCAGGGCGGAUGCCUUGGCACUAGGAGCCGAUGAAGGACGUGAUAAGCUGCGAUAAGCUUCGGGGAGUUGCACGUAAACUUUGAUCCGAAGAUUUCCGAAUGAGGAAACUCACUUAGAGUAAUGUCUAAGUAUCAUUAAGUGAAUACAUAGCUUAAUGAGGGGAACUCAGGGAACUGAAACAUCUAAGUACCUGAAGGAAGAGAAAGAAAUUCGAUUCCGUAAGUAGCGGCGAGCGAACGCGGAUUAGCCCAAACCAAUA